rnacentral:rRNA from 1 species
GACGAACGCUGGCGGCGUGCCUAAUACAUGCAAGUCGAACGAGAGCGACCGGUGCUUGCACUGGUCAAUCUAGUGGCGAACGGGUGAGUAACACGUGGGUAACCUGCCCAUCAGAGGGGGAUAACAUCCGGAAACGGAUGCUAAAACCGCAUAGGUCUUCGAGCCGCAUGGCUUGAAGAGGAAAAGAGGCGCAAGCUUCUGCUGAUGGAUGGACCCGCGGUGCAUUAGCUAGUUGGUGAGGUAACGGCUCACCAAGGCCGUGAUGCAUAGCCGACCUGAGAGGGUGAUCGGCCACAUUGGGACUGAGACACGGCCCAAACUCCUACGGGAGGCAGCAGUAGGGAAUCUUCCGCAAUGGACGCAAGUCUGACGGAGCAACGCCGCGUGAGUGAAGAAGGUUUUCGGAUCGUAAAACUCUGUUGUUAGAGAAGAACAAGUGCUAGAGUAACUGUUAGCGCCUUGGCGGUAUCUAACCAGAAAGCCACGGCUAACUACGUG